GUGCCAGCCGCCGCGGUAAUACGUAGGUGGCAAGCGUUAUCCGGAAUUAUUGGGCGUAAAGCGCGCGUAGGCGGUUUUUUAAGUCUGAUGUGAAAGCCCACGGCUCAACCGUGGAGGGUCAUUGGAAACUGGAAAACUUGAGUGCAGAAGAGGAAAGUGGAACUCCAUGUGUAGCGGUGAAAUGCGCAGAGAUAUGGAGGAACACCAGUGGCGAAGGCGACUUUCNUGGUCUGUAACUGACGCUGAUGUGCGAAAGCGUGGGGAUCAGACAGGAUUAGAU
rnacentral:rRNA from 1 species